rnacentral:rRNA from 1 species
UACGAAGGGGCUAGCGUUGCUCGGAAUCACUGGGCGUAAAGGGUGCGUAGGCGGGUAUUUAAGUCAGGGUGAAAUCCUGGAGCUCAACUCCAGAACUGCCUUUGAUACUGAGUAUCUUGAGUACGGGAGAGGUGAGUGGAACUGCGAGUGUAGAGGUGAAAUUCGUAGAUAUUCGCAAGAACACCAGUGGCGAAGGCGGCUCACUGGCCCGUUACUGACGCUGAGGCACGAAAGCGUGGGAGCAACAGG